AACGAACGCUGGCGGCAGGCUUAACACAUGCAAGUCGAACGCCCCGCAAGGGGAGUGGCAGACGGGUGAGUAACGCGUGGGAAUCUACCGUGCCCUGCGGAAUAGCUCCGGGAAACUGGAAUUAAUACCGCAUACGCCCUACGGGGGAAAGAUUUAUCGGGGAUGGAUGAGCCCGCGUUGGAUUAGCUAGUUGGUGGGGU
rnacentral:rRNA from 1 species